rnacentral:rRNA from 1 species
UACGUAGGGACCGAGCGUUGUCCGGAAUCAUUGGGCGUAAAGAGCGUGUAGGCGGCCACUUAAGUCCUGCGUGAAAUCUUGCGGCUCAACCGCAAGCGGUCGUGGGAAACUGGGUGGCUAGAGUGCGGGAGAGGAGAGUGGAAUUCCUGGUGUAGCGGUGAAAUGCGCAGAUAUCGGGAGGAACACCGGUGGCGAAGGCGGUUCUCUGGGCCUUACCUGACGCUGAGGAGCGAAAGCGUGGGGAGCGAACAGG